rnacentral:rRNA from 1 species
GCACAAGCGGUGGAGCAUGUGGUUUAAUUCGAUGAUACGCGAAAACCUUACCCGGGCUUGACAUGCAUCAGACAGGCGUAGAGAUACGCCCUCCGCGAGGCUGGUGCACAGGUGCUGCAUGGUUGUCGUCAGCUCGUGUCGUGAGAUGUUGGGUUAAGUCCCGCAACGAGCGCAACCCUUAUCAUUAGUUGCUACGCAAGGGCACUCUAAUGAGACUGCCGGUGACAAACCGGAGGAAGGUGGGGAUGACGUCAAGUCCUCAUGGCCCUUAUGGGUAGGGCUUCACACGUCAUACAAUGGUCGGUACAGAGGGUUGCCAAGCCGCGAGGCGGAGCCAAUCCCACAAAGCCGAUCGUAGUCCGGAUUGUUCUCUGCAACUCGAGAGCAUGAAGUCGGAAUCGCUAGUAAUCGCAGGUCAGCAUACUGCGGUGAAUACGUUCCCGGGUCUU